rnacentral:rRNA from 1 species
GACGAACGCUGGCGGCGUGCCUAAUACAUGCAAGUAGGACGCAGUUGCGAACGGGUGAGUAACGCGUAGGUAACUGCCUAUUAGAGGGGGAUAACUAUUGGAAACGAUAGCUAAUACCGCAUACUCGUAGAUGGACCUGCGUUGUAUUAGCUAGUAGGUAGGGUAAUGGCCUACCUAGGCGACGAUACAUAGCCGACCUGGGGAGGGGAGUGGCCACACUGGGACUGGGACACGGCCCAGAAUCCUACGGGAGGCAGCAGGAGGGAAACGUCGGCAAUUGGGGGAACCCUGGACAAGCAACGCCGCGGGAGUGAAGAAGGUUUUCGGAUCGUAAAGCGCUGUUGGUAAGGAAGCGGUACUUAACCAGAAAGGGACGGCUAACUACGUGCCAGCAGCCGCGGUAAUUC